rnacentral:RNase_P_RNA from 1 species
GCGGAUGGCUGGAUGAUCGCGGGCGCAUGCGUUCGAGGAAAGUCCGGACUCCACAAGGCAACGGUGCCGGGUAACGCCCGGCCGGGGUAACCCGAGGGAAAGCGCCACAGAAAAGAAACCGCCCCCGCGUUAGCGGAGGUAAGGGUGAAAUGGUGGGGUAAGAGCCCACCGCGCCGCUGGCGACAGUGGCGGCCAGGCAAGCCCCACCGGGAGCAAUGCCAAAUAGGGACCUCGCGCGAGGGUAACUUCGCAGGGCUGCUUUGGCCCGAGACGGUCCGGGUUGGCAGCUAGAGGCCGUGGAGUAAUCCAUGGUCGAGAGGAAUG